GGAGGGUGCAAGCGUUAAUCGGAAUUACUGGGCGUAAAGCGCACGUAGGCGGUUAUUUAAGUCAGAUGUGAAAGCCCCGGGCUUAACCUGGGAAUGGCAUUUGAGACUGGAUGGCUAGAGUAUGGUAGAGGUGAGUGGAAUUUCAGGUGUAGCGGUGAAAUGCGUAGAGAUCUGAAGGAACAUCAGUGGCGAAGGCGACUCACUGGGCCAUUACUGACGCUGAGGUGCGAAAGCGUGGGUAGCAAA
rnacentral:rRNA from 1 species